UACACUCCUGCGGGAGGCAGCAGUGGGGAAUAUUGCACAAUGGGCGCAAGCCUGAUGCAGCCAUGCCGCGUGUAUGAAGAAGGCCUUCGGGUUGUAAAGUACUUUCAGCGGGGAGGAAGGCGAUAAGGUUAAUAACCUUGUUGAUUGACGUUACCCGCAGAAGAAGCACCGGCUAACUCCGUGCCAGCAGCCGCGGUAAUACGGAGGGUGCAAGCGUUAAUCGGAAUUACUGGGCGUAAAGCGCACGCAGGCGGUCUGUCAAGUCGGAUGUGAAAUCCCCGGGCUCAACCUGGGAACUGCAUUCGAAACUGGCAGGCUAGAGUCUUGUAGAGGGGGGUAGAAUUCCAGGUGGAGCGGUGAAAUGCGUAGAGAUCUGGAGGAAUACCGGUGGCGAAGGCGGCCCCCUGGACAAAGACUGACGCUCAGGUGCGAAAGCGUGGGGAGCAAACAGGAUUAGAAACCCUUGUAGUCCC
rnacentral:rRNA from 1 species